rnacentral:rRNA from 10 species
UAAUUCUGUAGUAGUAGUAACACUGAUCUCGGAAGCUAAGCAGGGUCGGGCCUGGUUAGUACUUGGAUGGGAGACCGCCUGGGAAUACCAGGUGCCGAAUGGC